rnacentral:lncRNA from 1 species
CCCGCGUCCACCUGGCGGGGCCGCAGUAGCCGGGCCCGUGGAGGGAGCGGUGACCAUGUGGCCGCUGCUAUCCCGACCCAAGAUGGCCCGGGCAGCCCAGGCGUGGAGAGCCCACCGCCCUCCUCAGGGUGCGAACCUGGGACCGGGGACCGCCUCGGAUACAGUUCCCGAGUCAGAUACCGGGACCGGAAAGCCCGAUACAAUCAUCUCAUUAAUUUUGAGUAGCAACUAUUUAACCUCAAAUGAAGCCGCCUGCCUGCAGUGGAACAGAUGUAUGGUGUAAAAGAAUCUCAAUUGCCCAAUCAAGAUGAACAGAAUGGCUUUCUUCAACAAGAAAAUAGAACAUUCAUUUUUUAGGAUUAUAUCUACAACAUGAAGCAUUUAGCAGUAGCUGUCUUUGAGAACAUUCAUCUAUGACCUGAAAUGUCCUGAUCCUGAGAAAAAAAAGAGAUUCCAUUAAUUAAGUCUAUAAUUUUUAAAUGCAUAUUCAUGACUAAUUAUAUUUGCUUAUGUACAAUGCGGAUACAGAAUUCAUAAACCAGAGAUUAUUUUAACACAUGCACACAUUUUGUUUUACAUUUAGUGUACAAGAUACAAAAUUUUAAUCAAAUUUUAAAUAAUCUUUUAAAUUAUCUGUAUUUAUUAAUAAAUGAAGUC